UGGAUUGAAACUCUCUGUACAUGUGCAGAUAAAUACUAUCAAGCUGCAAUUCAUAAACAUGUUUAUGCAUAAUUUAGGGUAUAAGUGGAUAUUAUCAUAGAACCGCGGGAAUUAUACAUGUUCUAAUACGCGUUAGCUCGCUUUCAUUAUGUAACGUCAUAUCCGAAAUCUUUUGGCGGGAAGCUGCUCGCGAGGGUAAAAAAAGGAAUAUCCAAAAUGGCAAAUACCAUGGUAUUUGAGGCAAAUUCACCGGCAGUGGUGAAAAACAAGCAAAUUCGUUUGAAAUGAGGAAAACAUAUUAGAAUAUGCGAAAAAUACACUGGCUAUCAACCAAUCAAAAUCUUGCUUUCUUAUAUAAG
rnacentral:lncRNA from 1 species